GGAGAGGGAGUCCUUACCCAGCUGAUGAGUAGCAGGCUUGCGGGGCUCUUUUUCUUCUCGGUGGUGACAAAAAGAGCAAUAAAAUGUCUUUUGUCUGUCGUUCCCCUGGCCUUUAAUUUUUUUUUUUUCUUUUCUCCCCGUCCUCCUUUAGUACAUAUGGGAGAUUCUGGUUGAUGUCCCCCUGAAGUCCCCCAUGAAGGAGGCCUUCAUGAACAGUACCCUUGCUUAGGUAUCAUAACAUUUGAAACUUGUGGAAUAUGUUUUAUAGUAAUUUAGUCUAAAACUGACCGGAAUGAAUGAACCAUUGAACAGAUAGAGCACUGUCUGCUGACCAGCUACUGAGAGC
rnacentral:lncRNA from 1 species